UGGACUGUAGAAGUUUAUGCUAACCUUUUUUACUACGAGCAUAACAUUACCUUAUUACUAAAAAAAAAGAAAUAAAUUAUUCGUUCUGCAAACAACGUGCCUAUAUAAUAUUUAACAUAUACAUAUAUUCAAAGGUCAAAAUGUGGAAUUAACUAAAGGUCAAAAUGUGGAAUGAAGAUAUAUAAUUUUAUAUUAUCAUUUAACUUUGAAAGAGAGCGUAUGACAUAAAUCCUGUGAAACCAUGUCCGACAAAAGAAAAUUGACCAAAAAACCAUUUGAAGAAAAUAAAAGUUUGGCAAAGAAGCAGAUUGUUGCUACUAUCGUAUUCAAUAUUCUGUUUUUUGCUGUGGGAAAAACACUACCAAUAGACACGUCGCAACUAACGACACCAACAGAUCGUCUGACAUACACUAUAAGAUGGCUGUUCCUAUCAUCACUUACAAUCAUGUUUGCUAUGUUCGGAGUGUUAAGAGUUCGUGGGAAUACAGACGCCAUUGACCCAUUAAAUGGUUCUGCAGAAAACUUGGUAGAACUUCCAAACCGAAUUCUACGAAAUACAAUUGAACAAUUCUUACUUCAUGCAUUCGCUGUAUUGACCUUUUCGACAUUCCUGGACGAAAGCAGUAUGAAUAAUGUUCCUCUAAUGGUCGUGUUGUUUAUUAUUGGACGACUUUUCUAUGCUGUAGGAUAUAGUUCUGCAGCUAUGCACAGAUCUUUUGGAUUUAGUAUGACAUUUGGACCUACGUUUAUAACGUAUAUUAGAUGUACGUAUUAUGUUAUAUCAACGCUAAUAUUUUAGAACAAACGUAAAAGUUUCUACAUAAAACCAGAGUUAUGAAUUGCUGUAGAAUGAUUCAACAUUUUUUUUACCACAGUAUGUCAAUGUGUUAGUGUAUCAAUUAAAUUGGUUAUACUCUGAA